CUCACGCACGGAGGAGACACAUGGAAGAAGCACUUGAUGGAGGAGAAAAAAACAACAAAAGUGGUGUUAAAACUAAGGAUCUUUAAUGGCUUCACUACGACGGAGGAUAUCACCUAAGCAGGAUGCAAUAGAGCAUGCUGUGAAGGGCGUCGACAAGACCGCAAAGUUGGAAGUGAAGUAUAUAAAUUCAGUCAAAGGUCGAGGGGUCUUUACAAAGUCCCAUUUCAGUAAAGGAGACUUUGUUGUGGAGUACCGAGGCGAAUUCUUAAAUUCCGAUGAAUCCCUGAGGAGAAGAACAAUCUAUCAUGGCAGAUGUUCUGUCUUCAUGUUUGAAUUCCAAUGGAAUGAAAAAACUUGGUGGAUGGAGCCCAGCUGACUGAGACAGACCCCUCAGAGAAUGAGACCUGGAG